ACCCCUUACGAUUUUUUUGGGAAAUUUUGCAAAAAAAAUAAAAUUGUUUUGUUUUAAUGCCAAUGGGUUGCAAUGAGUUUCUUUUCACUCAAAUAAUGCUUGAAAUAAAAAAAACUGAAAAAUAAUAAAAAAAUCAAAAAAUUUAAAAAAAAAUGAAAAUUUUCCUCAUUUUUGCACCAAAUUUUGCCUAUAACUCGGUCGAUAUCCAACGAAUCGCCAAUCUUUAACUUGUGGUCGAUAGAUGGCACCAAUGGCUACAUUUUCUUCUUGGACGACCAUGCCCUCAGAUGUCUGUGCCAGAAGUUAUUGGAGGAACCAAGUUCCUUACCCUGUUUAAGAAAAUGUAAAAUUUUCCUCAUUUUUGCACCAAGUUUUGCCUAUAACUCGGUCGGUAUCCAACGGAUCGCCAAUCUUUAACCUGUGGUCGAUAGAUGGCACCAAUGGCUACAUUUUCUUCUUGGACGGCCAUGCCCUCAGAUGUCUGUGCCAGAAGUUAUUCGAGGAACCAAGUUCCAUACCCUGUUUGAGAAAAUGUAAAAUUUUCCUCAUUUUUGAGCAAUGUAGCAAAAAUUUUAAACGUGAUAUAUUUUGAUGGGAAUUUGUUGCAAUAAGUUUCUUUUCACUUAAAUAAUGCUUUAAACACAAAAAAGAAUAAAAAAUCAGAAAAAAUUUUUAAAAAAAUUUCAGCUCGAAAAUUUCAUAAGGCUUACCCCUUACGAUUUUUUUGGGAAAUUUUGCAAAAAAAAUAAAAUUGUUUUGUUUUAAUGCCAAUGGGUUGCAAUGAGUUUCUUUUCACUCAAAUAAUGCUUGAAAUAAAAAAAAAGUGAAAAAUAAUAAAAAAAUCAAAAAAUUUAAAAAAAAAUGAAAAUUUUCCUCAUUUUUGCACCAAAUUUUGCCUAUAACUCGGUCGAUAUCCAACGAAUCGCCAAUCUUUAACUUGUGGUCGAUAGAUGGCACCAAUGGCUACAUUUUCUUCUUGGACGACCAUGCCCUCAGAUGUCUGUGCCAGAAGUUAUUGGAGGAACCAAGUUCCUUACCCUGUUUAAGAAAAUGUAAAAUUUUCCUCAUUUUUGCACCAAGUUUUGCCUAUAACUCGGUCGGUAUCCAACGGAUCGCCAAUCUUUAACCUGUGGUCGAUAGAUGGCACCAAUGGCUACAUUUUCUUCUUGGACGGCCAUGCCCUCAGAUGUCUGUGCCAGAAGUUAUUCGAGGAACCAAGUUCCAUACCCUGUUUGAGAAAAUGUAAAAUUUUCCUCAUUUUUGAGCAAUGUAGCAAAAAUUUUAAACGUGAUAUAUUUUGAUGGGAAUUUGUUGCAAUAAGUUUCUUUUCACUUAAAUAAUGCUUUAAACACAAAAAAGAAUAAAAAAUCAGAAAAAAAUUUAAAAAAAAAUUUCAGCUCGAAAAUUUCAUAAGGCUUACCCCUUACGAUUUUUUU